rnacentral:pre_miRNA from 1 species
GAUUUGUUAUUCAGCACCAAGGACAGGUAUGUUAACCUGUGUGUGGAUGGUGUUCAGUGCAAAGGACAAGCAUGUUUAUGU